UCCCUGGGGGUCCACUUGUUAGGACCCUGUUCUUCCACUGCAGGGGGCACAGGUUCAAUCCCUGCUCAAGGAA
rnacentral:tRNA from 1 species